rnacentral:tRNA from 1 species
GGGCUGGGGCUCAGUGGUAGAGUGCUUACCUAGCAUGUGUGAGGCCCUGGGUUCAAUUCUCAGUACCACA